rnacentral:tRNA from 1 species
GGGCGGUUGGCUCAGGGGGAGAGCGCUUCCUUGACACGGAAGAGGUCAUAGGUUCAAAUCCUAUACCGCCCACCA